rnacentral:rRNA from 1 species
UGGGGAAUUUUGGACAAUGGGCGAAAGCCUGAUCCAGCAAUGCCGCGUGUGUGAAGAAGGCCUUCGGGUUGUAAAGCACUUUUGUCCGGAAAGAAAUCCUUGGCUCUAAUACAGUCGGGGGAUGACGGUACCGGAAGAAUAAGCACCGGCUAACUACGUGCCAGCAGCCGCGGUAAUACGUAGGGUGCAAGCGUUAAUCGGAAUUACUGGGCGUAAAGCGUGCGCAGGCGGUUUGCUAAGACCGAUGUGAAAUCCCCGGGCUCAACCUGGGAACUGCAUUGGUGACUGGCAGGCUAGAGUAUGGCAGAGGGGGGUAGAAUUCCACGUGUAGCAGUGAAAUGCGUAGAGAUGUGAGGAAUACCGAUGGCGAAGGCAGCCCCCUGGGCCAAUACUGACGCUCAUGCACGAAAGCGUGGGGAGCAAACAGGAUUAGAUACCCUGGUAGUCCACGCCCUAAACGAUGUCAACUAGUUGUUGGGGAUUCAUUUCCUUAGUAACGUAGCUAACGCGUGAAGUUGACCGCCU